rnacentral:rRNA from 1 species
AGUGAACGCUGGCGGUAGGCCUAACACAUGCAAGUCGAACAGCAGCACAGGAGAGCUUGCUCUCUGGGUGGCGAGUGGCGGACGGGUGAGGAAUACAUCGGAAUCUACUCCGUCGUGGGGGAUAACGUAGGGAAACUUACGCUAAUACCGCAUCGGACCUACGGGUGAAAGCAGGGGAUCGUCGGACCUUGCGCGAUUGAAUGAGCCGAUGUCGGAGUAGCUAGUUGGCGGGGUAAAUGCCCACCAAGGCGACGAUCCGUAGCUGGGCUGAGAGGAUGAUCAGCCACACUGGAACUGAGACACGGUCCAGACUCCUACGGGAGGAAGCAGUGGGGAAUAUUGGACAAUGGGCGCAAGCCUGAUCCAGCCAUACCGCGUGGGUGAAGAAGGCCUUCGGGUUGUAAAGCCCCUUUGUUGGGAAAGAAAUCCAGCUGGCUAAUACCCGGUUGGGAUGACGGUACCCAAAGAAUAAGCACCGGCUAACUUCGUGCCAGCAGCCGCCGUAA